rnacentral:rRNA from 1 species
GUCCUGAAGGAACGUUGAAGACGACGACGUUGAUAGGUCGGGUGUGUAAGCGCAGCGAUGCGUUGAGCUAACCGAUACUAAUGAACCGUGAGGCUUAACCUU